AAUCUGCUAAGAGAGGGGAACUGAAAAUAAAUUUGCCAUGGUUGCAGUUGAAAAAACACCCACCUGAUCUUAAUGGCCAUCCUGCAACUGGUUCCGCAGAGCACUAUGCAUUGUAUGACACGUUUCAUCAGUAUAACACAAGAGAUGAAAAGGAUGCUCUGAGAGUAAUUGGACUUGUGCCUGAGCUAUGUGGGUGGAUAAACUCCCAGACAGCGGAGCAGCUGUUCUCUGGCAUGCGAAAGAACAACUAUUUCAUGAACUCUCUCUCCCCAGCAAGCCACAUCUUCCUUAUGCGUAACAUUUUACAUCACCACAAUGAGAGAGUUAACCAGAAGGCACUGGAGGACUUUAAACAGGUUUCUCGUUGAGAUAUCACCCUUGAUGCAUAUGGAAAAGCCAUUUUGGUGCAUGCGGAUGUCCCUACAGAUGUGUACAUGGACGCCCACUGUGGUGAGCAAUGUGAGGCUCUGACUAUGACAACAAACCUCAGGCCCUGUCGCGCCUCAUGGACACUAUUGCAUCAUCCCCUUCAAGACAAAUUGGUCAAUUAUGUACUGGAUGAGGACAGACCGAUGAAGGAAAUAAUCAUAAAAGAUGGUCAGACGUGCCUCACAAGAGAGAACUUUGUAACCCUGGGACUGAGAAAGGAAAUGGAUUCAGUGGAUUAUCAAGGAAAUAAUUCAGCAUCAGGGAAAAGAUGUUUACAUUGUAGAUCUCCAUAUUCCACCAACUUGGCUCCUGCCCUCAUCCUGUGACCCUCUCCUCUCUCUUCCAUUGGACUCCCAAAAGAAAGAUGCCUUGAUUUUCCCCCUUUGGACCCCAGGGCACUAUCUGCUGUGUGUCUGUUGCACAGCACAUUGUCUCGGGACCAUUGACCGAAUUAACUGGCCUGGAUGUUAAGGGGCUCCCUCGACAACAUUAUGGCAUUGACUGUGGAAUCUUCAUGAUAAUGUACUCCUGGUAUGUUGUCAUGGAA